UACGAAGGGGGCUAGCGUUGCUCGGAAUCACUGGGCGUAAAGCGCACGUAGGCGGAUUGUUAAGUCAGGGGUGAAAUCCUGGAGCUCAACUCCAGAACUGCCUUUGAUACUGGCGAUCUUGAGUCCGGGAGAGGUGAGUGGAACUGCGAGUGUAGAGGUGAAAUUCGUAGAUAUUCGCAAGAACACCAGGGGCGAAGGCGGCUCACUGGCCCGGUACUGACGCUGAGGUGCGAAAGCGUGGGGAGCAAACAGG
rnacentral:rRNA from 1 species